AUUGAACGCUGGCGGCAGGCCUAACACAUGCAAGUCGAACGAGUGGCGGACGGGUGAGUAAUGCCUGGGAAACUGCCCGAAGGAGGGGGAUAACUACUGGAAACUGUAGCUAAUACCGCAUAUCAUCGGAUGUGCCCAGAUGGGCUUUGCUAGUAGGUGGGGUAACGGCUCACCUCGGCGUCGAUCCCUAGCUGGUCUGAGAGGAUGACCAGCCACACUGGAACUGAGACACGGUCCAGAAUCCUAAGAGAGGCAGCAGUGGGGAAUAUUGCACAAUGGGCGCAAGCCUAAUGCAGCAAUGCCGCGUGUAUGAAGAAGGCCUUCGGGUUGAAAAGUACUUUCAGCGAGGAGGCGUUACUCGCAGAAGAAGCACCGGCUAACUCCGUGCCAGCAGCCGCGGUAAUUC
rnacentral:rRNA from 1 species